AAGAUUAAACUGAAGAGUUUGAUCAUGGCUCAGAUUGAACGCUGGCGGCAGGCUUAACACAUGCAAGUCGAACGAUGACUAUCUAGCUUGCUAGAUAUGAUUAGUGGCGAACGGGUGAGUAAUGCUUAGGAAUCUGCCUAUUAGUGGGGGAUAACCAUCCGAAAGGAUGGCUAAUACCGCAUACGUCUUACGAGAGAAAGGGGGCUUUUAGCUCUCGCUAAUAGAUGAGCCUAAGUCGGAUUAGCUAGUUGGUGGGGUAAAGGCCUACCAAGGCGACGAUCUGUAGCUGGUCUGAGAGGAUGAUCAGCCACACUGGGACUGAGACACGGCCCAGACUCCUACGGGAGGCAGCAGUGGGGAAUAUUGGACAAUGGGCGAAAGCCUGAUCCAGCCAUGCCGCGUGUGUGAAGAAGGCCUUUUGGUUGUAAAGCACUUUAAGUGGGGAGGAAAAGCUUGUGGUUAAUACCCACAAGCCCUGACGUUACCUACAGAAUAAGCACCGGCUAACUCUGUGCCAGCAGCCGCGGUAAUACAGAGGGUGCAAGCGUUAAUCGGAAUUACUGGGCGUAAAGCGAGCGUAGGUGGUCAUUUAAGUCAGAUGUGAAAGCCCCGGGCUUAACCUGGGAACUGCAUCUGAUACUGGGUGACUAGAGUAGGUGAGAGGGAAGUAGAAUUCCAGGUGUAGCGGUGAAAUGCGUAGAGAUCUGGAGGAAUACCGAUGGCGAAGGCAGCUUCCUGGCAUCAUACUGACACUGAGGUUCGAAAGCGUGGGUAGCAAACAGGAUUAGAUACCCUGGUAGUCCACGCCGUAAACGAUGUCUACCAGUCGUUGGGUCUUUUAAAGACUUAGUGACGCAGUUAACGCAAUAAGUAGACCGCCUGGGGAGUACGGCCGCAAGGUUAAAACUCAAAUGAAUUGACGGGGGCCCGCACAAGCGGUGGAGCAUGUGGUUUAAUUCGAUGCAACGCGAAGAACCUUACCUGGUCUUGACAUAGUAGGAAUCCUGCAGAGAUGCGGGAGUGCCUUCGGGAAUCUACAUACAGGUGCUGCAUGGCUGUCGUCAGCUCGUGUCGUGAGAUGUUGGGUUAAGUCCCGCAACGAGCGCAACCCUUUUCCUUAGUUACCAGCGACUCGGUCGGGAACUCUAAGGAUACUGCCAGUGACAAACUGGAGGAAGGCGGGGACGACGUCAAGUCAUCAUGGCCCUUACGACCAGGGCUACACACGUGCUACAAUGGUUGGUACAAAGGGUUGCUACACAGCGAUGUGAUGCUAAUCUCAAAAAGCCAAUCGUAGUCCGGAUUAGAGUCUGCAACUCGACUCUAUGAAGUCGGAAUCGCUAGUAAUCGCAGAUCAGAAUGCUGCGGUGAAUACGUUCCCGGGCCUUGUACACACCGCCCGUCACACCAUGGGAGUUGAUCUCACCAGAAGUGGGUAGCCUAACGCAAGAGGGCGCUCACCACGGUGGGGUCGAUGACUGGGGUGAAGUCGUAACAAGGUAGCCGUAGGGGAACCUGCGGCUGGAUCACCUCCUUAA
rnacentral:rRNA from 1 species